rnacentral:rRNA from 1 species
CCCUUAGAUGUCCUGGGCCGCACGCGCGUUACACUGAUGCAUUCAACGAGCUUAUAACCUUGGCCGAGAGGCCCGGGCAAUCUUGUUAACGUGCAUCGUGAUAGGGAUAGAUUAUUGAAAUUAUUAAUCUUGAACGAGGAAUUCCUAGUAAACGCAGAUCAUCAAUCUGCAUUGAUUACGUCCCUGCCCUUUGUACACACCGCCCGUCGCACCUACCGAUUGGAUGGUCCGGUGAAGCCUCGGGAUUGUGGUUCUUGCCGCUUUAUUGUGGCGUGACCGCGAGAACUUGUCUAAACCUUAUCUUCUAGAGGAAGGUGAAGUCGUAACA